CACACACAUACAUGUCAUUACAUGGACAUUACAAGUCGUAACUUUCAGUCUUUCAAAAGUUCCUUCAAAACAAAUUAAAACGUUAAGAAACGGAGAUCGGGUAAUGAGUCUAAUUUUUUAAAGUAAUAGUUUCAGGUGAAGUUUUCACGUGUACCUGGCCAACUAGGUGCUCGUGACAAUAGAAAUAAAAUUGCCUAAAUCCAAUAAUCCAAGUUCGCAAGCUAUGUCUUCUGAAGCUAAACAAUUUCUGUUGCAAGAUUUUGUAAAUCUUCUAGAUAUUGAUGCCUUCGCCAGAUCCAAUUCUUUGAUGCUAUCUAUUUUGCGUCACCAAAGCAAAAAAACGUUGCUACUUAGGAUUUUGUGGUAAUCGCCACCUAGUUCUAAUUUAGGAGGACAAUGUAAGAUUGAUAGGUUCGAGCCUCGAGGUUAAUCCCUAUCAUCUGUUAUGGAAACCUACAAGAGAUUACUGGAAUUGAAGACUGAUAAUUUGUGAAGGUGUUCCCUUCUUUUCUGUGGCCUGUUUCCCUAACUAACCACUAAGCACUAACCAGGUCAAUCACUAUCACAAUCACUGAUAACCAGGAGGAUGAGGAGGGCUCUGGUCGAACGGGGACUUGGAAGGUGGAUUAUCUGAGAAAAACUUUUGGAGGGUCAUGAGUCUAUCCGGAAAUCCUGCUAUGACUAAUCGCUCCCUAGCAAAGCUGGCCUCGUACUCUUCUUCACCGGCCAGGUGUUGUUUAUGUUCCUGUCAUUGCUGUCCGAUGUGGCACGUUGUUGCAGCCUAUGCUGGUGAAAGCUCUUAUUGCAUGAACUUAAACUGGCUGUUCCUUGAUCCUGUUGUCAUGUUAUGGAAAUUGCAUAAUUAUUUUGUUAAAUUGUCAUCGUGACUAUGUAGUUUACCGUUAAUAUGUUAUGGAACAAAAAAGAAAUAUGGGGAUUUUUAUGUCAAACAAGUAAUAAACAUGUUUUCGGGAUUGGGAAAGGAAAGUGGAGGAUGUUGGAGGGGGGAUAUUUAAAGUUUGUGUAAAAAAACAGUUAAUUUAUAACCCUACAAACAUAUCCCUACCAAUUAAUCUCCAAACCCCACAAACUUAUACCUUUCUUCACACUCCAAAAACAUACACCUACCAACCCUCAAAUUUAUACCUUUAGCCAAAUAACCCAAUGUUAAACCUGAACGAUCUGAUAUCUGUAAUAAAUAGAAAUCGAAUGUUUUA